CGGACGGGUGAGUAACACGUGGAUAACCUACCUAUAAGACUGGGAUAACUUCGGGAAACCGGAGCUAAUACCGGAUAAUAUUUCGAACCGCAUGGUUCAAAAGUGAAAGACGGUCUUGCUGUCACUUAUAGAUGGAUCCGCGCUGCAUUAGCUAGUUGGUAAGGUAACGGCUUACCAAGGCAACGAUGCAUAGCCGACCUGAGAGGGUGAUCGGCCACACUGGAACUGAGACACGGUCCAG
rnacentral:rRNA from 1 species